AGGAAAACACGCAAUAAUUGAAUUAAGUUUAAAGACAGUUUAUGAUAUAAUUCUUGAUGGUCUGGUCACACUAAAGGUGUUUCUGCAAUAAGAUUCUUUCCGAAAUCUGCUCAUCUUCUUCUGUCGUGUAGCAUGGAUUGUAAAAUUAAGGUAAAAAGUCAUUUUCUCUGUCUUACAUGUCGUUGUUCAUUUUGAGUUUGGUUGUACAUCGUUGAAUGUUCCUCCAACAUUACUGGAGAAACUGCAAGAUGAUAUUCAUGUAAGCGCCAACGGCUCUGUUUUU